UUUUAGCCCCGGCAGCAGCGGCAUCCUUUUUCCGGCUCCUUUAGCCGGGAAAAGAUACAGCGGAUGACGGGAAUCAGC
rnacentral:sRNA from 1 species